rnacentral:lncRNA from 1 species
GUCGUUCUUGUGAUACUCUUGGACCGCUGAAGUAGGUCGGCAGUACCCCCCGUGACUGGUGAAUGGUGAUUCUCUUGGAUUACCGUGGUGGGUCGGUGGUAUCAUCGGUACUCCUCUCUCAAAACCAAUAAAUACAAGGGCAAUUUCGCUUUUUUACAAAUAUUCCCUUGCACUUCUCGAGGAAUUGAGAUGGGAGUUAGUGCAUCAACAGGUUGCGUGGUCCGAUCGAGUAUCUGCUUCUUCAAAAGGGCAAGUUGAGGGCUCUUACUGCUAUCGAAAGCCAUAGGUUAAACUCGUUGCUGAUCGCGGUGUAUCGGCGCUUGGAUGUCCUACGUCAGGCGGGGAUGAAUGUUGUCAUUAUGGAGCCCAUCGUUCGAGCCCUCGCAUCUAGCCCAUUUAUUCCUUCCACCGGGCGUCGUCGACAUCGGGCUCCACGUCCACGCGCAUUGUCUGAAUUACAUGUUAUCGUUGCUCCCGAUGGGGAACCCCACGAGCCAUUUAGAUCUUCUUUGAUGUGUAUGUGCUCCUUUUAUAAUGCUACUUCUGUCUGUAAUAUUGUAUGUACUCCUUAUAAUGCUACUUUUGUCUGUGAUAUUUGUUUUGAACUCGCCUCCUGGUGUAAUAGUCUGUUUUCUUAUGCAACUUCGUAAUUCACUUCUGUCUGAUCACACGCGUAGGGUGUGUCUUUUCGUGGGUCAGAUGGCCCUAGCACACAACUCAAGAAAAUUGAGGAGGCCUUGUGAACCCAACCUGAGAACCUACACGAUCGUCAUAAGAAUACUCUGCGGCGAG